rnacentral:rRNA from 1 species
GAUGAACGCUGGCGGCGUGCCUAAUACAUGCAAGUCGAGCGAACAGACGAGGAGCUUGCUCCUCUGACGUUAGCGGCGGACGGGUGAGUAACGCGUGGAUAACCUACCUAUAAGACUGGGAUAACUUCGGGAAACCGGAGCUAAUACCGGAUAAUAUAUUGAACCGCAUGGUUCAAUAGUGAAAGUCGGUUUUGCUGUCACUUAUAGAUGGAUCUGGGCGGCAUUAGCUAGUUGGGAAGGUCACGGCCUACCAAGGCAACGAUGCGUAGCCGACCUGAGAGGGGGAUCGGCCACACGAGAACUGAGACACGGUCCAGACUCCUGAGGGAGGCAGCAGUAGGGAAUCUGCCGCAAUGGGCGAAAGCCUGACGGAGCAACGCCGAGUGAGUGAUGAAGGUCUUGGGAGCGUAAAACUCUGUUAUUAGGGAAGAACAAAUGUGUAAGUAACUAUGCACGUCUUGACGGUACCUAAUCAGAAAGCCACGGCUAACUACGUG